rnacentral:tRNA from 2 species
GCAGUCGUGGCCGAGUGGUUAAGGCGAUGGGCUAGAAAACCACUGGGGCCUCCCCGUACAGGUUCGAAUCCUGUCGACGGAC